CCUACGGGAGGCAGCAGUGAGGAAUAUUGGACAAUGGGUGAGAGCCUGAUCCAGCCAUCCCGCGUGCAGGAAGACGGCCCUAUGGGUUGUAAACUGCUUUUGUACGGGAAGAAACCCUCCUACGUGUAGGAGCUUGACGGUACCGUAAGAAUAAGCAUCGGCUAACUCCGUGCCAGCAGCCGCGGUAAU
rnacentral:rRNA from 1 species